rnacentral:rRNA from 1 species
GAUGAACGCUGGCGGCGUGCUUAACACAUGCAAGUCGAACGAAGCAUUUCCUUUUCUUCGGAAAAGGAAAUGACUGAGUGGCGGACGGGUGAGUAACGCGUGGGUAACCUGCCUCAUACAGGGGGAUAACAGCUGGAAACGGCUGCUAAUACCGCAUAAGCGCACAAUGCUGCAUGACAUAGUGUGAAAAACUCUGGUGGUAUGAGAUGGACCCGCGUCUGAUUAGCUAGUUGGUAAGGUAAUGGCUUACCAAGGCGACGAUCAGUAGCCGACCUGAGGGGGUGACCGGCCACAUUGGGACUGAGACACGGCCCAAACGCCUACGGGAGGCAGCAGUGGGGAAUAUUGCACAAUGGGCGAAAGCCUGAUGCAGCGACGCCGCGUGAGCGAAGAAGUAUUUCGGUAUGUAAAGCUCUAUCAGCAGGGAAGAAAAAAAUGACGGUACCUGACUAAGAAGCACCGGCUAAAUACGUGCCAGCCGCCGCGGUAA